rnacentral:rRNA from 1 species
GACGAACGCUGGCGGCGUGCUUAACACAUGCAAGUCGAACGGAAAGGCCCUGCUUUUGUGGGGUGCUCGAGUGGCGAACGGGUGAGUAACACGUGAGUAACCUGCCCUUGACUUGGGAUAACUUCAGGAAACUGGGGCUAAUACCGGAUAGGAGCUCCUGCUGCAUGGUGGGGUUGGAAAGUUUCGGCGGUUGGGGAUGGACUCGCGGCUUAUCAGCUUGUUGGUGGGGUAGUGGCUUACCAAGGCUUUGACGGGUAGCCGGCCUGAGAGGGUGACCGGCCACAUUGGGACUGAGAUACGGCCCAGACUCCUACGGGAGGCAGCAGUGGGGAAUAUUGCACAAUGGGCGGAAGCCUGAUGCAGCAACGCCGCGUGCGGGAUGACGGCCUUCGGGUUGUAAACCGCUUUCGCCUGUGACGAAGCGUGAGUGACGGUAAUGGGUAAAGAAGCACCGGCUAACUACGUG